CUGACUGCAGAUGUGGCUUUUCUUCUGUGUGCUUCAGGUUUACUCCUCAAUGCCCGGCAGAGUGCAAGUUUUCAGCUAUAGUGGCACUUGCAGGACAAGGAACACAGCUGUCUGAGUCUUGUCCUGGAGCAGCAUGAGGAGCACUGUCCUCCCUGGUGCCGCUACUUUCUAUGCUGGAAGGUAGCUUCUCUGUGGUGCAUUAAUGCACUUGUUAAACCUUUACAAAUUGAGCUUGUUUCACCAAAUGCUGGAAGGCUGAGGGGAGGCAUCUCCAUUUGCAGCUGAAACCAUCUCCUGACAGCUGGAUGUUCUCUCUGGGCUAAUGCUCUGCUCCUGGGUAGCCAGGUCCCUGCCAGCACAGCAGGAGACUAUGCAGCACUUGUCCCUUCAUGUGUGGCUUUUGGUCUGACAACCACUACAGUGAUACAGCCCCUAAUGUGGUCUCAUUGAUUGCUGGUAUCAAAUAUACUGGGAACUUGCUCAGAUUUCCUUGAUGGAUUUUUUGUAAUCAAGCCCAUCUCUUCAUCAAUCUGUUUUAAUCAAUUUUAUUGUCCGUAGGGAAGAGCUGUUUGUGGGCAGGUAUGACUUUAGUGAUAUUGAAGCAGCCUUGGAGCAUGAAUCAAAGGGAAGAAGAGAUCCUGAGUGUAGAGAAGCUUCUAUUCAUCCUACUAAAAUCUUAACAUUGUUUGGUAACAAAAUAUUUAAUGCACUUUUAUUUAAAGAAACAGCUCUGAAAUGAAAGCAAUAAACAGCUGCUGAUGGCUUAAUAGCUUAAGUGUAGUUGGGGCAUUCAAUCAAUCUGAAAAGCAGUUUAUUGUGUAUCUAUUUCCAAAUGGUGGAGGUUAUUGCUAUGAUACAUCUAACUAUAAUGGCAAUGGGAAAAAUAUAUCCUCUCCUGAGAGGUCUGAAAGGGCUCAGUGACCAGUUUGUUAGAUUCCCUGCUGAGUUCAGUCAUUUGUGGCUGUGCUUAAUAGCUGAGUAUGGCUAAAACCAAGAACUGACCAGUUUCUCAAAAAAGGUGGCUUGGAAACAAACUCAGGACUAAUGUGGGUGCAGGAAGGGAGAGGCAGCUUUGAUACCAGAUUCUGGAUGCUGCUGCCUCUCAUUGUUCCUGCAGCAGAGCUGCUUGGAAGAAAACACUCCUCACUGCAAUGCACCUUCUAUGGUGCUCACAGGCAUUGCCAGCUUAUCUCCUGAGGAAACAAAAUGUAGGCAACCAAGGGGACUUGUUGGAUAUAAUAUUCUAUUUUGCCUACAGCAAAAAUAGUUUGAAACCAGUAGCAUAUUCUAAGUCACUUUGGUGGUAGCCUAGAUGUGACUUCUGUAAUUCAUGUGGAAAUUUGCAGAUAAGACUGUAGAGAAAAUGUGUUGGUGACAGAAGGAGAGAAGUUUCCCUGUAGCUGUUGUUUGCUUGCCCAGGAGCACCAGUUUGAGUGAUGACCAGAUGGUCCAGCCUCCAGUGUAAGCAGCCUUGCAUUGACCCGUGAGGAAGCCAAACCUGGUGCUUGGAGCUGGCAGUGCUGCUCUGGGAGAGGAAGGGAUGGAAGGGAGAGACGAGAGCCCCUUGCAGGAGCUGAGGACACCAGGGUGUUCCUGGUGAGAAGCACUGGGGUACCUGGCAGGAGCAUCUCAUCAGGAGCCAAGCUGUACCAGUCCUGCUGCCAGUGGAGCUGCUCCUUGCUUUGGUUUCACUGCCUGCUGCUCUACACAGCACUGCCUACUCUCUGAACACCUGGGAGCUCAUUUGCAUCUACAAGUAUAACCUUUCUUCAGACAGAGGUUAAAAUAGUAAGUUGAAAUAUAUGUGGGCAGAUACUUUCUUGUUUGGUUUCAAACUGAUAUAAGUGUAGAGCUAUUCCUUAACUCUAUGGUUUGUAAAUUUGACCUUCACCUUGACAGUUCACUCUAGCACAUGUGAAAGUGGUUCAUUUUAACCUGGCUAUCUCUAAUUGCACUACAGUUAUUCUGUUAAUAGUUUUGUAAUUAUCAAAAUCCAUUUGCUGUAUCUAUCUUUGAUUGCCUCCAGGGACUACUAUAAUCAGGAACAUCAAACCAGUUUCUGGUGGGGAUAAAUUUCUGUUCACAAGAACUGGAAAUAUUUGCCAUCUUGGGCAACCCAGUAUCAGCAGACAAUUUUAGUGCUUCUGUAUUCACAAAAAGCAAAGCAGUGUUUGAAGGAAAGAAGUUGAAGCUAUGGAUGCCUGAAAGAUCUAGGACAAUUCACACUUGUCUGAGCACAGCAUAUCCUAGUCACAGAAAUCUCCUUUUGAUCUGUACUAUCUGGACCAAAUUGCUGGAGGAAAUAAUAAAACUUUUGUGCUUUCCUGGUCUAUAUAUCACUGCUAUUGGUUGUUUCUGAGAUGCAAAAUUGUUGCACACCUCUAGAGAACAUUUUGUUGGCUCAGCCCCAGGGCAAAGUACUUCAAAUGCAGCUGUAAGUGCCUUAAAUAAGU